rnacentral:ncRNA from 1 species
AAGAGCCGUAUGACGCGAGAGUGUCACGUACGGUUCUGUGAGGGGCUGAUGGGGGAGGUUCCGUUGGUCUACUCGAC